GAACAGCUGGGGCGAAAUUGAAAGGUUUGUUUACAAAGUGCAUAAUAAAUCGCGGAUUUACGGAAUUAUUUAAUUUUAAAUGUAAUUGAACAAAUACCAGCGGGCCGCCAGCGGGUCAGUUGCUGGUAACAAUUUGCAGAACGAUUCCACGGUGAUCGUUGCAUCGUCGUCAAUUAGUGAAAUCACUACUUUUCCGGCAGCCGCAACAAACGCUGGGCCCAAGCCUGCAAAUUGUUGCCAACAACUGACCCGCUGGCUGCCCACUGGCAUUUGUUCAACUACUCAAAAAUGCACUUUGUAAACAAACCUUUUGGGUGUUGGCCACAUCAAGCGGCUCAUCUGGAUGAAAUGAAAAGGCUGUUAGAUGUAAUGCAGCAACGUGCUCCCGAUGUUGAACAUCAGUUCAAAGAAAAGUCAAAUGAGUUGGAAAUGGCGCAGCUUAUCAUACGCCAGUUGUCGGAUAAGGCCAAUGUAAACCAAGGCCGCAAUCGGAUAGAGACCUCGACGCAGACGCAAUUUAUGUACGAGCAACAUA